rnacentral:rRNA from 1 species
UAACAAGGAUUCCCUUAGUAACUGCGAGUGAACCGGGAAGAGCUCAAAUUUAAAAUCUGGCGGUUUUGCCGUCCGAGUUGUAAUCUGGAGAAGCGUUUUCCGCGUCGGACCGUGUACAAGUCUCUUGGAAUAGAGCGUCAUAGAGGGUGAGAAUCCCGUCCAUGACACGGACUCCCGGUGCUUUGUGAUACGCUCUCAAAGAGUCGAGUUGUUUGGGAAUGCAGCUCAAAAUGGGUGGUAAAUUCCAUCUAAAGCUAAAUAUUGGCGAGAGACCGAUAGCGAACAAGUACCGUGAGGGAAAGAUGAAAAGCACUUUGGAAAGAGAGUUAAACAGUACGUGAAAUUGUUGAAAGGGAAACGCUUGAAGUCAGUCGCGUCGUACGGAGCUCAGCCUUGCUUUUGCAUGGUGUAUUCUCUGUGUCGAUGGGUCAACAUCAAUUUUGACCGGUGGAAAAGGGCUUAGGGAAUGUAGCGUUGUUUCGGCGACGUGUUAUAGCCCUAAGUCGUAUGCAUCGGUUGGGAUUGAGGACCGCAGCACGCCCUUGUGGCCGGGGGUUCGCCCUACGUUUCGUGCUUAGGAUGUUGGCAAAAUGGCUUUAAGCGACCCGUCUUGAAACACGGACCAAGGAGUCUAACAUGCCUGCGAGUGUUCGGGUGGAAAACCCUUGCGCGUAAUGAAAGUGAAAGUUGGGAUCCUUCGUAAGGGGGUGCACCGACGCCCGGCCCUGAAGUUCUCUGACGGUGCUGCGGUAGAGCAUGUAUGUUGGGACCCGAAAGAUGGUGAACUAUGCCUGAAUAGGGUGAAGCCAGAGGAAACUCUGGUGGAGGCUCGUAGCGAUUCUGACGUGCAAAUCGAUCGUCAAAUUUGGG